GUCGAGAAUCUUUCACAAUGGGGGCAACCCUGAUGGAGCGACGCCGCGUGGAGGAUAAGGUCUUCGGAUUGUAAACUCCUGUCAUGCGUGAACAAGGUUGCUUGGUUAAUACCUGGGCAAAUUGAUGGUAACGCAAGAGGAAGAGACGGCUAACUCUGUGCCAGCAGCCGCGGUAAUACAGAGGUCUCAAGCGUUGUUCGGAAUCACUGGGCGUAAAGGGUGCGUAGGUGGCGUGGUAAGUCAGAUGUGAAAGCCCGGGGCUCAACCUCGGAACUGAAUCCGAUACUGCCAUGCUAGAGUACUGGAGAGGUGACUAGAAUUCUCGGUGUAGCAGUGAAAUGCGUAGAUAUCGAGAGGAAUACCAAAGGCGUAGGCAGGUCACUGGACAGUUACUGACACUGAGGCACGAAGGCCAGGGGAGCGAACGGGAUUAGAAACCCGAGUAGUCC
rnacentral:rRNA from 1 species